UACGAAGGGGGCUAGCGUUGCUCGGAAUCACUGGGCGUAAAGCGCACGUAGGCGGAUCUUUAAGUCAGGGGUGAAAUCCUGGAGCUCAACUCCAGAACUGCCGUUGAUACUGGGGAUCUCGAGUCCGGGAGAGGUGAGUGGAACUCCGAGUGUAGAGGUGAAAUUCGUAGAUAUUCGGAAGAACACCAGUGGCGAAGGCGGCUCACUGGCCCGGUACUGACGCUGAGGUGCGAAAGCGUGGGGAGCAAACAGG
rnacentral:rRNA from 1 species